AACGUAGGUGGCGAGCGUUAUCCGGAUUUACUGGGCGUAAAGGGUGUGCAGGCGGGUGAACAAGUGGUGUAUGAAAGGUUUCGGCUCAACCGAGAUAGGUUAUGCCAGACUGUUUACCUAGAGUGUGAGAGAGGUGAGUGGAAUUCCCAGUGUAGAGGUGAAAUUCGUAGAUAUUGGGAAGAACACCGGUGGCGAAGGCGGCUCACUGGCUCAUUACUGACGCUCAGGCGCGAUAGCGUGGGGAUCAAACAGG
rnacentral:rRNA from 1 species